AUGAAAUGCGACUUGUUUUUAUGCACAUGCAUGUGGUACCAACCGAGUAUAACUCUCAACUUAAUAAUCUGCCAAUUAAUAGAGACAUCAACAAGGCAUAAGCCUUCAACUUUAUAUUUGUCAAUUCAGGUCAACUUACCGAGCAUGAGCUCCCAACUUGAUAUGCUAUGUAUGCGACAAUAA